rnacentral:misc_RNA from 1 species
GGAUGAAGACGCAGCGAAAUGCGAUAAGUAAUGUGAAUUGCAGAAUUCAGUGAAUCAUCGAAUCUUUGAACGCACAUUGCGCCCCCUGGUAUUCCGGGGGGCAUGCCUGUCCGAGCGUCAUUGCUGCCCUCAAGCACGGCUUGUGUGUUGGGCCUCCGUCCUCCUCCCGGGGGACGGGCCCGAAAGGCAGCGGCGGCACCGCGUCCGGUCCUCGAGCGUAUGGGGCUUCGUCACCCGCUCUUGUAGGCCCGGCCGGCGCUUGCCGACACAUCAAUCUUUUUUCCAGGUUGACCUCGGAUCAGGUAGGGAUACCCGCUGAACUUAAGCAUAUCAAUAAGCGGAGGA